rnacentral:lncRNA from 1 species
GUGGAAAUUGGUUCAGACUGAACACUGGAGGUAGAAGCUGGGCAAGUGGUGUGGGGAAACAACUUGUUGUUGUUGUUAUUGUUACUUAAUUUAGCUUGGUUGUUUUUAAGUGAAGAGCGGCAACCAACGUCACUAUGGGUUUUCUCUGGUGAUGCGUUCCUGUUGAACCUGAGAUAGUUUGGAUUCUGUUACACCAGGUUCACUUCUAGUGAUGACAGCAGCGAGCGGCCUCUCUUCUUACAGGUGUUCCUUUCUGUUUGGUGCAGGUGGGAUUCUUGCGGGGGCAGGGAUUGAGUCAAAUCUUGGAAAUGACGUCAUUCUGAACUCAUCUGCCUUUAUCCAGAAGACUACCAAAGCAAACCAGAGGACCAGAGAACAGCAGCUGCUCUGGACAAAGAGGGGAGGACACCCACACCCACAUACCAAGUUCUGGUUGACUUCUACAGCAGAAGGAGCAGGAGACACCAGAAGUCUCCUCAGAAGAACAUUGACCAGCAUGCCUGCAGCCUUUCUGUUCUGACACACUUGUUA